AACGAACGCUGGCGGCAUGCCUAACACAUGCAAGUCGAACGAAGCCUUCGGGCUUAGUGGCGCACGGGUGCGUAACGCGUGGGAAUCUGCCCUUGGGUUCGGAAUAACAGUUAGAAAUGACUGCUAAUACCGAAUGAUGUCUUCGGACCAAAGAUUUAUCGCCCAAGGAUGAGCCCGCGUCGGAUUAGCUGGUUGGUGAGGUAAAGGCUCACCAAGGCGACGAUCCGUAGCUGGUCUGAGGGGAUGAUCAGCCACACUGGGACUGAGACACGGCCCAGACUCCUACGGGAGGCAGCAGUGGGGAAUAUUGGACAAUGGCGAAAGCCUGAUCCAGCAAUGCCGCGUGAGUGAUGAAGGCCUUAGGGUUGUAAAGCUCUUUUACCCGGGAUGAUAAUGACAGUACCGGGAGAAUAAGCCCCCGGCUAACUCCGUGCCAGCAGCCGCGGUAAU
rnacentral:rRNA from 1 species